rnacentral:lncRNA from 1 species
AUGGGAGAAAAGAGAAAAAAAGCACGACAGACAGGCCAAGGCAGCCAAGAGGGAGAAGGAACUCAAGCAAUCAGCGACGGAGGCGGGGGCAGCUCCGGGUGCCGCGCGAGAGGGUCGUGCAGGCCGCCGGGCAGCCGACCCACCGACAGCCGAGCGGGGCCCGGUGGGGCGAGGCCCGGGCCGCCAGGGGCGGGGGGACCCAGAGUGCGUGCGGGAGCUGGGCCUGGGGCCGGGAGGGGGCCCGGGAGGCGGGGCGCGGCCGGGCGGGGCGCGGCGGGGGCGGGGCCCGAGGGCGUGUCCGCGGCGGGCCCCCGCCCCCCCGAGUUGCGCGGGCGACGGAGCCGGGCCGGGGCGCCGGGGCCGGGGCGGCUGGCUGGCUGGCGCGGGCAGGAAGCGCGCCUCGCGGCCCGGGCCCGCCCCCCGCCUCCUGCCGCCUCCGGGCUCCCGGCUCCCGGCCGCGCCGCGCCCCAUGCACUCGCCGUGCCGCGCAGCCCGCGCACGCCCGGAUGGCUCGUCGCGCCGCGGGCGGCGCACCCCUUAGCGCCCGGGCCGCCGCAGCCAGCCUGCCGCCGCGCCCGCCAUUCCGGGCCCCGCCGUGCCCGCCGCCGCCGCUGCUGCUUUGGCUGCUGCUGCUCCUGGGGGCGGCCCGGAUCGGCGCCCUGGAGAUCCAGCGCCGGUUCCCCUCGCCCACGCCCACCAACAACUUCGCCCUGGACGGCGCGGCGGGGACCGUGUACUGGCGGCCGUCAACCGCCUCUACCAGCUGUCGGGCGCCAACCUGAGCCUGGAAGCCGAGGCGGCCGUGGGCCCGGUGGCCGACAGCCCGCUGUGUCACGCCCGCAGCUCCCCAGGCCUCGUGCGAGCACCCGCGGCGCCUCACCGACAACUACAACAAGAUCCUGCAGCUGGACCCGGGCCAGGGCCUGGUGGUCGUGUGUGGCUCCAUCUACCAGGGCUUCUGCCAGCUGCGGCGGCGGGGCAACAUCUCGGCGGUGGCCGUGCCCUUCCCGCCCGCCGCGCCGCCCGCCGCGCCCGUCACGGUGUUCCCCAGCAUGCUGA